AAGGUAGGAGUAUCUCUCCUGCCCUCUUGUUCUGCUAGAUACUGGCUUCAAGGCAACAUUUCCCCAACCCCCACUUGUAAGCAGAGGCAGAUUUGUGUCUUGCUAUCUGCAUUGGAGUAUUUUCUCUCUGGACAUCGAGGGGACAGGCUGGCACAUUGUUUGGCUUUUCUUUCUCAGUUGUUUCUACACCUGUUCAAAGGAGCGGAGGGAGGGAGAUUGCCUGCCCAGUCAUGUUCGCUGCUUAGCUUGUCUUUUCUUUUUUCCUCCUCUCUCCUAAUUUCUUUUGGUGGCAGGAGAUUUCUAUACUAUGUCUUCUGCUUAUCUUUGAGUGGAGAAGCAGCUGUGUUUGCCUGUCUUCUUUUCACUUGUAUGGGGCACUGCUUAUCCUGUGUCAAUACAGCCUUUAGUCUAUGUGGAAGCCCUGCUUUCUACUUUUAUUCUAUUAGCUUUACUUCUCUGUGUCCUAUUUUCCUCUCCAGAUCUCUCAGGACUGCAGUCCGUUCCCCAGUGUCACAACAUUACCAGAGAGAGCUGCUCUUCCACCAAGUGCCCAGCCUCCUCGAGGCCACCUCCCUGUUUGAAAAGAGAGGUGAAGCUGGGGAGGGGUGAACCCCCAGCUUGAUUCCUCGCUGGAUAAAUGCACGGUAACAGAACCAAAGCAAGGUCAAUAACUCCCGUUGGAAGACGUGGUUACAGUUCAACUGGCAGCACGAGCCGAGGUGAAGGCAGUCAUUUUGUGGUGUUUGGGUGUUGCAGAGAAGCCAGCCGGCAUGAACUUGCGCGUGAAGCAUUUUUAUAAUGUUCAUUUCGCUGUAAACAAUUCAUUAAAAUAACUUGCUAAGUCUUAGGCAAGUGGAUUUUUGAAGGUUGCUCAUUUCACUUAUCCACCCAAAGUCAAUUUGAGUAUGAAUAUAUAACAUUUUACUCAUAAUAACAAACAACUUCAGAGAAGAGACAUUUAUUCUGGAGGCAGAGAUUCGAGCUAGACAGCAAUGAUGCAUUACAAAUAUAUAAUUAUUUGCACUAAUAUUUGAGCAGGUGGAAUGGAUUAGUACAUGGUCAACAUUACACUGCUGAUAACAUGUAUUUUUCUAUAUUAAUAUGUACUGUGCAACAUGUAUUAAAAUUGUCAAUAAUUCAUUUUAACAGAGAUAGCAAUAUUUAUAUUGCUGUGUUCUACAGACAGCAGAGUGAAUUGUUAAAAUGUGCAAAGCUGGGCUAGAUUUAACUUAACUUUGUUUCCCUGUGUGUGUGUUUUUAAUUUCUCAUUAAAAAUAAAAAAAAAAUAAUAAAAAGCA
rnacentral:lncRNA from 1 species